CAGUCCCGCGGUAAUACGAAGGUGGCUAGCGUCGCUCGGAAUGACUGGGCGUAAAGGGCGCGUAGGCGGAUUGUUUAGUUAGGCGUGAAAUUCCUGGGCUUAACCUGGGGACUGCGCUUAAUACAGGCAGUCUAGAGUGAGGAAGAGGGUUGUGGAAUUCCCAGUGUAGAGGUGAAAUUCGUAGAUAUUGGGAAGAACACCGGUGGCGAAGGCGGCAACCUGGUCCUUGACUGACGCUGAGGCGCGAAAGCGUGGGGAGCAAACAGGAUUAGAUACCCCAGUAGUCCCUGUCUCUUAUACC
rnacentral:rRNA from 1 species